rnacentral:rRNA from 1 species
AUACGUAGGUGACAAGCGUUAUCCGGAUUUACUGGGCGUAAAGGGCGUGUAGGCGGAGAUGCAAGUCAGGAGUGAAAUCUAGGGGCUCAACCCCUAAACUGCUUUUGAAACUGUAUCCCUUGAGUAUCGGAGAGGCAGGCGGAAUUCCUAGUGUAGCGGUGAAAUGCGUAGAUAUUAGGAGGAACACCAGUGGCGAAGGCGGCCUGCUGGACGACAACUGACGCUGAGGCGCGAAAGCGUGGGGAGCAAACAGGAUUAGAUACCCUGGUAGUCCACGCUGUAAACGAUGUAUGCUGGGUGUGAGACUAGCGAUAGUUUCGUGCCGAAGUUAACGCGAUAAGCAUACCGCCUGGGGAGUACGGUCGCAAGAUUGAAACUCAAAGGAAUUGACGGGG